CAAAGAAAAUUGAACAGUGUGCAGAGACUACAAUGUGAAAAAUUUUAAGGCUUUAAGGCUAUUAAUGUAACAGCUCUGCUCUAAAGUGUUGUUCCCACCCGGUUUGCAUAAAGCCUCCACCCAGUGAUUGUGUUGCCGAGAGACUCUCGGCUUCUGUGCACCAGUGCCUAACAGAAGCUCUAAGACAGGGUUUUGGGUGAAGGACAAAAAGAUAGCUUUCAUUGAUUUGCCAGACAAAGGAGGCCACCACAGGCAAAUGCCUUAAAGACUGUGCCCUCCCUUGGGGGAGAAUUGCAGGGAGUUUUAUAGUCUAAAAGGAGGAAAAAACAGGAUUUCAGUAAGAAUCCGGUUUGGGGCAAACAUACAUUCUUUUUUCUUUGGGGAAAUCUUAGUCAUUGAGGCUGGCAUUAAGAGAUCUUGGCAUGACCCUGGUGGUGGUCUUCUGGGUUACUGCCUAGAAUAACAGUACUUGGGAAAAGGGAAUAUUGAUCAGAGAUUUGAACAAACUAGGAAAGUUCCUGAAAAACAUCAUGUACUAAUAAAUCCUUAACCUACAGGCAGAUGUGCUCUGGGUACCUAAUCAUUAGCUUAAAGGUGAUUGUGUUUAGGGUGUGAUUCAACGAGGGAGAAGCACAAGAAAGGGCUCCAAACUGUUCAGUUUUAAAGUAUUCAUUUCUAAAAGAAGCAUAAGGAAUAUAACGUUUCUCUUAGGUGUAUAAGAUACCUACAUCAUCAUGUGUAUCCCUUGAGAGGGAACUAGGAUCCUGCCCCAAGGCCAUACUAAUGUUUCGUUUUUAAAAAAUAUUUAUUUAUUUAUUUUGUCUUUUAGGGCCACACCCAUGGCAUAUGGAAGUUUCCAGGCUAGAGGUCAAAUUGGAGCCACAGCUGCCAGCCUACACCACAGCCCCAGCAACCCAGGAUCCAAGUCUCAUCUGUGACCUACACCACAGCUCACAGCAACGCCGGAUCCUUAACCCAACUGAGCAAGGCCAGGGACUAAAACCUGCAUCCUCAUGGAUCCUAGUUGGGUUUGUCACUGCUGAGCCAUGAUAGGAACUCCCUGUACUAUUGUUUCUUGACUGUUCCUCCCUUGUCUUAGCAUCCCCUUUGUUCCCUGAUCAGCAACGGUCUGAACCCACCCCUAGGAACUCAGGGAAGGCCAUAGAAUGAAUGAGGCCCAUUUCCUAAAAACAAGAAAUGGGGCACACAAAAAGGCUUUUAGGCCCUGGAGCCCUGCUGGGACCCUGCUCAGUUGCAAUUAAAAGUUGAAGUUGACAAGGAUCAGAAAGAUUCAUAACUGACUCCCUUUUGAAAAAAGGUACCACGGGGUAAAUCAAUGCACUGGACUAGGACCACUUAUUACUGCACUAAAUGCCUUGAUUAUAUUGGUUAUUUGCUUCCAUUCUUCCUCCCAUCUCAGGGUUCAAGUCAUCUCUGAUUGGCCAAGACAAGAUGGUCUUGGCCUGUGGCUCAGCAAAGCAGGCUGGGGGAGCUUGAAUUCUUUUCUUUUCUUGAUUUGGUCAUAUUAUUAAAAUUGAUUUCAGAGUUCCCUUCAUGGCUCAGCGGUUAAGGAAACUGAUUAGGAACCAUGAAGAUGCAGGUUCGAUCCCUGGUCUCGCUCAGUGGGUUAAGGAUCCGGUGUUGCUGUGAGCUGUGGUAUAGGUCACAGACACGGCUCAGAUCCCACAGUUGUGGCUGCGACCUAUACCAUAGGCUGGCAGCUGCAGCUCCAAUUUGAUCCCUAGUCUGGGAACUUCCACAUGCCAUGGGUGCAGCCCUAAAAAGCAAAACAAAACAAUCUCUCUGGAAACCUCUGAGGAGCAGGGCCCAUAUUGGCUGCUCUUGUUACUGCCCCCAGAGGGAGUCCAAACAUAGUACAUCUUCCAAAAAUAAAUAAAUAAACACAUAAAAAAAAAAGACAGAAGAGGAGAUCUGGUUGUGGCGUGGCGGAAACGAAUCCAACUAGGAACCAUGAGGUUGUAGGUUCAGUCCCUGGCCUCGCUCAGUGGGUUGAGGAUCCAGCAUUGCUGUGAGCUGUGGUGUAGCUCGCAGACAUGGCUUGGAUCUGGCAUUGCUGUGGCUGUGGCCUAGGCUGGCGUCUGCGGCUCUGAUUCGGCCCCUAGCCUGGGAACCUCCAUAUGCUGUGGUGUGGCCCUAAAAAUACAAAAAGCCAAAAAAGAAAAAAGACAGAAGAAAUUGUAAGGAGGACUGGUAGCUUAGCUUGUAGUCCAGAGACUAUUUGUAUUCCCAGAUGCAGAGAAAGCAAACAAUGGCUAGUGUUCUGCAAAUCUGCAUUGGGCUCAAAAUAUUCUUAGAUGCCAGGCACCCACCUCUAUCCACAUGCACACACAACCACUCUCCCCUCAGUCACCUGUAUGUCGGAAAAAUGCAAAAUAGAGAAAUUUGAUCUUUGAAUGCCCAUCCCUCAAAGCUAGGCCAAUCUUGACAGCUCUUCUUUCCUCCUAGCUCUCCCACCUCCAGGAACCCAGCCCUCAUCUCCAAUAAACAGUUGCCACGUAUAAGAAUAACAACAAAGGCUAAAGUUCUCUCAGAUGCUCUUGCAAGCAGAAGGAAUUCAAAGGUGACUAAAAAAUAGCCUUUUCUGUAGGAAACUCACAGCCUAAAAAGACCUUGGCCGUAACUUCCCACAGGAAGGGAAGUCAGUUGUGGGCUAGGAGGGGAAUUAGAAAGAAAACACCACUUGUUUGUCUUGAGCUUUAUUUUCCUAGUUGGGGAAUAAUGACAGGAUAGUAAGCAAAUCAUUUAUGUUGAGCAAUUACUAGUUGCAAGGCAUUAUUCAAUUAAUCGUAUAUGUCAACUCCUCUUAGGAGAGUUUCAACCACAUUGGUAUUUGAUCCUUUAGGAUUUUUUUAAGAUUUUAUUUUAUUUUUAUUGUUGAUUUACAGUUUGUGUCAAUUUUCAUCAUUAGGAUUUGACAAUGUCUUCGACAUUUCUUUUUUAAUGAUUUUUUUUAUUUUUUCCAUUAUAGUUGGUUUACUGUGUUCUGUUAAUUUUCGGUACAGCAAAGUGACCCAGUCACACACACACACACACAAUACCCAUACAUUCUUUUUCUCACAUUAUCCUCCAUCACACUCCAUCACAUGUGACUAGACAGAGUUCCCAGUGCUAUACAGCAGGAUCUCAUUGUUUAUCCAUUCCAAAUGCUAUAGUUUGCAUCUAUUAACCCCAAAUUUCCAUUCUAUCCGUCUCCCUCCCUCUCCCCCUUGGCAACGACAAGUCUGUUCUCCAAGUCCAUGAGUUUCUGUUCUGUGGAAAGUUUCAUUUGUGCAAUAUAUUAGCUUCCAGAUAUAAGUGAUAUCAUAUGGUAUUUGUCUUUCUCUUUCUGACUUACUUCACUCAGUACAAGAGUCUCUAGUUCCAUCCAUGUUGCUACAGAUGGCAUUAUUUUGUUCUUUUUAUGGCUGAGUAGUAUUCCAUUGUAUAUAUAUAUAUGCUACAGCUUCUUAAUCCAUUUAUCUAUUGGUGGACAUUUGGGUUGUUUCCAUGUCUUGGUUACUGUGAAUAGUCUUGCAAUGAACAUGUGGGUGCAUGUGUCUUUUAAGGAAAGUUUUCUCCAGAUAUAUGCCCAAGAGUGGGAUUGCUGGGUCAUAUGGUAGUUCUAUAUUUAGUUUUCUGAGGUACCUCCAUACUGUUUUCUAUGGUGGUUGUACCAUUUUGCAUUCCCACCAACAGUGUAGGUGGGUUCCCUUUUCUCCACACCUUCUCUAGCAUUUGUUAUUAGUGGAUUUAUUAAUGAUGGCCAUUCUGACUAUGAGGUGGAAUCUCAUAGUUUGGAUUUGCAUUUCUCUAAUAAUCAGUGAUGUUGAGCAUUUUUUUGCUUGUUGGCCAUCUGUCUUCAACAUUUCAAAAGAUACUGCAGAUCAGUUAUAUCAUUGAUGAAGAGUUAACCAGAAAGCCCAAUAUAUUUCCCCUGUUUUCUUUUCUUUUAAUGACUCAGGAGUUUUGCAGAUCAGAUUUUUUUUUAAAUUUAAUGAAUUUCUUAAUGCUGGGCCUGAGAUUCCACCUGUGCACUGAUUGCAGGUGAGAGGUUUGUGAACAGGAUGGGGAGGGAGGAGGAAGAGAUUUAAUCAGCUCAAAACAGUCUCUUUAACCCUCCUCUAAAAAUAGUCUCCUGAUUUGUACUGAUUAAAUAAAAUAUGAAUCAAAUUUACUGUUUAUACUGCUUAAAAGAUCAGCUUUAGAGGAUUUUGUGCUUUUUCUUUUUCAUGUAAUUGCAGGAAGAGAAGGACAAAGGGUUAGUAAUCUUUGGAAGGUUUAUUAAAAGAAAAGUAAAUCUACUUAGAUUGUAGCUAAAAUAAAUGAAUUAGCAAAUUCACACACACAUACACACGUGUAUGUGUGUCUUGAAUAUGGUUACUUGUUACUUAAAAAGCUACAAUAAAAGAUCUCAUCUCUGAAUUUUUAGGGUUUAAGCAAUGUUCAGUCAAAGCUGACAUUUGUUCACAAAACCGUGAGUAGUCAGGCUUGAAAUGUGCCUUUGGGAGAGGAGUCAGCAUUGCUAUGUGUCUCUGGGAAAGGGUCUGCAUAUUAGGCUUGCCCUCCAACUAUAUGUUGCCCAUGCACUGAGUUCAGAAAUGCUAUGUAAAUAGCAGUUUAUUAUAAAGCUAAAGGAAUACACAUUCUGGCAUAAACUGUCAAACAGUGCUUAAUACUAACUGAUAUCAUUUUACUGGGUAGUAGCGGGGAAGAAUCUAGGAUGGUCUAUGGUACUAUGAGAUGAUGGCGAAAUUUGAAGUAAAUAGACCUUGCAGAUUUGGAGGGGGGCGGUCGGUGUGGGGAGAAGCAUACAGUGAGAAGCAAGGUGAUCCACAGAGCCCUGACCUGCCUUUAGAGUAGUGGAAUGGGGUGUCAGAGCCCAGCUUGCAAAUGAGCAUGUUCUAAGAGGCCCUCUCCUCUCGAAAUCAAUUUCUGAGGUCUCAGUCAAAAUUAAAUGCUUCUUAAGUUGCCUGUCUGCUGAACUUCUUAAACCUCAAUUUAUCUCCUGCUUUUUUUGGCUCUGUGUUCAGGUGCUUUUGCAUAUGACCCUUAGCUGUUAAUGAAAGGCAACAUAGUCCUAUGCCACAGCCACAGCAAUGCAGGAUCCGAGCCGCAUCUGCAACCUACACCAUAGGUCAUGGCAAUGCCGGAUCCUUAAUCCACUGAGCAAGGCCAGGGUCCAAUCUGUGUCCUUGUGGAUACUAAUCAGAUUCAUUUCCGCUGAGCCAUGACGGGAACUCCUCCUAAAAUGGGUGCAUUAAUCAACCUCUAACCCAUGGGGUGGUUUGAAAAAUUAAACAUGUUAAUUUUUAUAAAGUAAACAGAAUAGAGCCUGACAUAUAGUAUGUGCUUGUUAUUGUUAUACUAAAUAGAUUGAGUUUUAAAAUUUUUCUGUUCCUCCCAAUCAGAUACACUGCGUAUGCUAUUUGGCCAUUCCAAGAAUACCAGGAAAGCCUUGUGAAAUACAUGGAGGCAAUGAUUAACCAUAUAUUCUAUUUAUAAGAUUUGAAUUCCAGCCUAUUCCUGAUAGAGUAGCUCCCAGAAAAAUAUGAAAAUUACUUCAAGAGGGGAUAUUGUUAGCUCAUCUUCUAAAUAAGAGAUACAGAACAGUAGGACUAAUUAAAUCAAACUUCUUCCAUAUUCAAAUAGUUUCUCACCAGGGGUUAUAGAAGCUAGAGUAUAUCUUCAAAUACUCUUGUUAAACAUGAAACAACAGAAUUCUUCCAGGAGUUCCCUCAAAGCUCAGAAGGUAAGGGUGUUCAGUGUUUUCAUGUUAUAGCUCUGGUUACAGCUGUGGCACAGGUUUGAUCCCCGGCCCAGGAACUUUCAAAUACCUGAGAGCAGCCAAAAAAAGAAGAAAAAA
rnacentral:lncRNA from 1 species